rnacentral:rRNA from 1 species
GGCAGGCUAGAGUGCGGUAGGGGAGAUGGGAAUUCCUGGUGUAGCGGUGGAAUGCGCAGAUAUCAGGAGGAACACCAAUGGCGAAGGCACAUCUCUGGGCCGUAACUGACG